rnacentral:rRNA from 1 species
UACGAAGGGUGCAAGCGUUACUCGGAAUUACUGGGCGUAAAGCGUGCGUAGGUGGUUUGUUAAGUCUGUUGUGAAAGCCCCGGGCUCAACCUGGGAAUGGCAAUGGAUACUGGCAGGCUAGAGUGCGGUAGAGGGUAGUGGAAUUCCCGGUGUAGAGGUGAAAUUCGUAGAGAUCGGGAGGAACAUCAGUUGCGAAGGCGGCUCUCUGGACCAGCACUGACACUGAGGCACGAAAGCGUGGGGAGCAAACAGG